UCGAUUUAAACGCGGAAGGAACCCUUACCCAGGUCUUGGACAUUUUUUUGGUUAACCUUAAGAGGAUUUAGGCGUUCCCCUUCGGGGGGCGGAAUGACAGGGGGGUGCAUGGUUGUCGUCAGCUCGUGUCGUGAGAUGUUGGGUUAAGUCCCGCAACGAGCGCAACCCUUAUUGUCAGUUGCCAGCAUUCAGUUGGGCACUCUAGCAAGACUGCCGGUGACAAACCGGAGGAAGGUGGGGAUGACGUCAAAUCAUCAUGCCCCUUAUGACCUGGGCUACACACGUGCUACAAUGGACGGUACAACGAGUCGCGAAACCGCGAGGUCAAGCUAAUCUCUUAAAGCCGUUCCCAGUUCGGAUUGUAGGCUGCAACUCGCCUACAUGAAGUUGGAAUCGCUAGUAAUCGUGGAUCAGC
rnacentral:rRNA from 1 species